rnacentral:rRNA from 1 species
CCUACGGGGGGCUGCAGUGAGGAAUUUUGCGCAAUGGCCGCAAGGCUGACGCAGCAACGCCGCGUGGGUGAUGAAGGCCUUCGGGUCGUAAAGCCCUGUCAGGUGGGAAGAAAGGCCUGGAGAGGAAAGGUUUCAGGUUUGACGGUACCACCAGAGGAAGCACCGGCUAACUCCGUGCCAGCAGCCGCGGUAAUACGGAGGGUGCGAGCGUUAUUCGGAAUUACUGGGCGUAAAGCGCGUGUAGGCGGGGGGACAAGUCUGAUGUGAAAGCCCUGGGCUUAACCUGGGAAGCGCAUUGGAAACUGUUUUUCUUGAGUACUGGAGAGGAAGGGGGAAUUCCCGGUGUAGAGGUGAAAUUCGUAGAGAUCGGGAGGAAUACCAGUGGCGUAGGCGCCCUUCUGGACGGUAACUGACGCUGAGACGCGAAAGCGUGGGGAGCAAACAGGAUUAGAUACCCUGGUAGUC